ACCAAUGAGAUAGCGCCAGACCUUUGAUAGAGGUGACGAGGAAGAAGCUUAUCGAAAUAUUCGGCGGGUGGCUUCAGGGCAGCUGUGCUCUACAGAUCAUUACAAAACUUUUAUAAAAAAACAAAAAAAUGGUCAGACAGAUCG
rnacentral:ncRNA from 1 species